UAACAAUUAUAACUGUAUAAAUAAGGAAUUAAAUCUAUAAAUAUCAGUUUAAAUAUAGACACGGUUACGUUUAUUGAUAUUAUAUUCCAGAAAGACAUUUAAACAUUUAUAGUGAUAUUCGCCAUUUUGGAACUGGACAAGCUUUAAAAGGUAUAGAUCUGUAUUUAAUUAUAUACACAAUCUACUUUGAUUAUCGAUUCUCCAUAUAUUUUCACAAUAUUACACUGUUAUUUCCUUCGUGGUCGCGUUCUCGAGUACAGCUAGGAGCUGCUAUAUGAGUUCACUUGCCAACCAAAUACAUUGAAAUAGAUUUUUGCAGCUUUUUCAAUUAAACGGCUGACGUGAUACUAUCCAGGAAGAGUUAAAGAUUGGCUCUGACAAAAUUAUAUGCAUUCUUUGUACACUGCAGGGGCGGAUCCAGGUGCAGGGUUUUGGGGGUUGGAACCCCUUUUUUGAACGAUCAAUGCAUUUGAAUGGGGACAUACAUGUAUAGUUGGACCACCCCCUUUCUCCUGGGUUUGGAUCCCCUUUAAAAUGACUAAAUCUGCCACUGCACCGUGACCUAUCCCGUUAAAAUUACUACCCAGCGAGUCGAUGUAGCUCAAAGCAGGAUUAAUUCAUUUUCAUAUUGUAAACAAAGUAAUGUCCAUUAUUUCCAUGUGCAACUUUGUCCAUAUUAUAUAGAUAUUUGUAUGAAAUUGUCUGGUUAAAAGGAGGUUAUUCGAGGUCAUAUAUACAUGGACAAUUUUUUAUUACUGUUGAUACUAAAGUAUGUCCUCCAAGGGAAAAAUACUAUGAAAAAUAUUCGGCAGGUAUUUAUGUUAAUGAGACAGCAAUCCAACAACAAAUAUUACCGAAAUGCAUCUGAUAGGCAAUAUCCAGUCUUGAAAAAAGACGGUGUUAUACAAUAUGUCAAGCUGUAAAUAAUAGUGUAAUACUUACACUUUAAAGUACAAUGUAGUACAGCCAAAGAAUGGUACACUUGACCAAUAUUAUCUUAUAUCUAUACUGUUUAUGUACGUACGACAGAAAUUACUGAUCAAAACUGAAUGGGGAUCAAGUAAAUGAAAUAUAUCAAAUAGAGAGGCAUCCAACUCGAUAAAACCUUUAGUACAUGAUAGACAACCGAAAUUAAAACCUUUCUUAAAUAAUUUCUAUACAGUUCCAAUCUAAUGAAAAUAUAUAGAACUCUGAUUUCAUCCGUAUGAAAUAAGAGUUCUAUAUUGAUUUUAAUUAGAUUGUAUAUAGUUCACGUUGUGAAAUAUUCUCAAACUACAAAACUGAAUGUUUGCAUAAUAAUGUCAUUUGCAGUCUUAGAACUCUUAUUAAAGAUAAAAAAGUUUUGUUUUUUUAGUGAGGAAAUAUAAUGGAUUCCAAUGGGUUGCUGUACAGGGGUUUGCUGCUACUUCUGAAACUUAUUUUAGCCUUUUUCGCUGUUUUAGCUCUGUGCUAUAUUUUUAUUAUCGGUAAGUGCACCCAGACAUAGAAAAAAUGCAAUGUAAUUAUAAUGUAAGACUCUUGCGACACAUGGAUUUUAAGGAGAUUUGGGAAUACGAGACAAUGAGGUACUACGUAUAGUUUCACCCAAACAACCUAAAAAUACUUAACACAUAAAAACCUGGAAGUAACCAUAUGACCUUUAUGGAUGGUCAAUCUUUCGUACAGCAAAUAAUAUUUUAUGUUAUGACAAAUCAUGUCACCACUAUAUUGAACUACAUUUGGGUUUUGAAAAUGUACCAUCGACUCGUAAAAACAACUAAAAAACAUAGAAUGAUCAAAUAUUGAUGUGAUGAAAGCACCGAUGGUCACCCCUAUAUGAUGAAAUUGAUAAUAAAUACUAUAUUUACAUUAAUAAAGCAAUCACGUGAUGGUCAGUAGUUAAUUUGUACCUUUGAAAUAUGCCAAAUAGAAUCAUAAUUGACUGAAUUUUUGAGAGAACUAAUAGUAAAUGUGUGUGUGUUUUUAUUUUUAUUUUAAUAGAAUAAUUCCAAAGACCAGGAAGGGGAAUAGGUCAUUAUAUAUUAUUUCUAUCUUCAAGCAUCUGCAGACAUAAAACUAUAUAUCGACAAUACCGUGUCAUGCAGUGCUCAUGUACAAUCCGUUUUCUUUUGCAGUUACCAGAAAAUGAUUGAAAUAAAUGAACUAGAAAAGCAAAGACUACAGUUGUUGAAAUCCACGUGAUCACUGCAAUAUUGUGCUUGCUGCUGGAGAUUCAUAUAGCUUGAAGAAAAAACACUGAAACAAUUGUUACAUGAUAAUAUAUGCUACAAAAAAGAACUUGUUUUAAAUACUCUUUAUUUGAGUCAGGUGAAAUAAAUUGUUCUUGGAAAUAUUUCUUUUGUAUUUAUAGUAUCAUCUCAUUUCUAUACAACAACAAGCUAGUAUUGAUUUUGCAGCAAAACAAUGUAUUCUUAACAACG
rnacentral:lncRNA from 1 species